rfam:Lactococcus garvieae Lg2 DNA, complete genome.
UAAAAUGAUAGAGGUCGCAAUGAAUAGGAAGUUUUACUGAGCUGGACAAGCGUUGAAGUAAAACGGAGGAGACAUUGCCGAAAUGAAUUCACUCGUCCAAGUGAGUUUGUUGGGGCAGCAAGGGAUACUUGCUGAACUGUCGCAGUUUUGCGGAGUGCUAUUCGUUAC